AUCCCCGUAGAGCAAGGGAUAGCGCGUUGGACUUCUAAUCUAAAAGUCGUGGGUUCGAAUUCCACCAGGGAUG
rnacentral:tRNA from 1 species